AGUAAUGUCUGGGAAACUGCCUGAUGGAGGGGGGUAACUACUGGAAACGGUAGCUAAUACCGCAUAACGUCGCAAGACCAAAGUGGGGGGACCUUCGGGGCCUCAUGCCAUCAGAUGUGCCCAGAUGGGAUUAGCUAGUAGGUGGGGUAACGGCUCACCUAGGCGACGAUCCCUAGCUGGUCUGAGAGGAUGACCAGCCACACUGGAACUGAGACACGGUCCAG
rnacentral:rRNA from 1 species